GACGGAGGGGGCAAGCGUUGUCCGGAAUCACUGGGCGUAAAGCGCACGUAGGCGGAUCAUUUAGUCAGGGGUGAAAUCCCGGGGCUCAACCUCGGAACUGCCUUUGAUACUGAUGGUCUCGAGUCCGAUAGAGGUGAGUGGAAUUCCUAGUGUAGAGGUGAAACUCGUAGAUAUUAGGAAGAACACCAGUGGCGAAGGCGGCUCACUGGAUCGGUACUGACGCUGAGGUGCGAAAGCGUGGGGAGCAAACAGG
rnacentral:rRNA from 1 species